rnacentral:rRNA from 1 species
GACGAACGCUGGCGGCGUGCUUAACACAUGCAAGUCGAACGGAAAGGCCCUGCGUUUGUGCGGUGCUCGAGUGGCGAACGGGUGAGUGAAACGUGAGUAACCUGCCCUUGAAUUUGGGGUAACAUUAGGAAAAAGGGGAGAUAACCGGGUAGAAGCUCUUGCUGCGUGUGGGGGGUUGGAAAGUUUCGGCGGUAGUGGAUCGAUUGGCAGCUUAUCCGCUUGCUUGUGGGGUAGUUGCUUACCAAGGCUGUGACGGGUAGGCGGCCUGGGAGGUGGAACGGCGACCUUGGGCCUGAGAUAGGGCCCAGUCGGGUACGGUCGGCAGUAGGGGGGAGUCUUGCGCAACGGGGGCACGCGUGAGGCAGCAACGCUGGGUGCGUGAUGACGUGUUACGGGUGGUAAACCGCUGUCGAAGGUAAUGAAGCGUGAUUGACGGUAAUGGGUAAAGAAGCACCGGCUAACUACGUG